GAGUUUGAUCCUGGCUCAGGAUGAACGCUGGCGGCGUGCCUAACACAUGCAAGUCGAACGGAGCCUUAACCAAAGAAGCAGCCAGCUUGCUGGAAGCGGAAAAGGGAAAGGCUUAGUGGCGGACGGGUGAGUAACGCGUGGGUAACCUGGCCCAUACAGGGGGAUAACACUUAGAAAUAGGUGCUAAUACCGCAUAACAACAGAAAGCGCAUGCUUUUUGUUUGAAAACCAAGGUGGUAUGGGAUGGACCCGCGUCCGAUUAGCUGGUUGGCGGGGUAAAGGCCCACCAAGGCGACGAUCAGUAGCCGGCCUGAGAGGGUGGACGGCCACAUUGGGACUGAGACACGGCCCAAACUCCUACGGGAGGCAGCAGUGGGGAAUAUUGCACAAUGGGGGAAACCCUGAUGCAGCGACGCCGCGUGAGUGAAGAAGUAAUUCGUUAUGUAAAGCUCUAUCAGCAGGGAAGAAAAUGACGGUACCUGAGUAAGAAGCCCCGGCUAACUACGUGCCAGCAGCCGCGGUAAUACGUAGGGGGCAAGCGUUAUCCGGAUUUACUGGGUGUAAAGGGAGCGUAGACGGCAGUGCAAGUCUGGAGUGAAAGGCGGGGGCUCAACCCCCGGACUGCUCUGGAAACUGUACGGC
rnacentral:rRNA from 1 species